AGUUGUGAUGAUGAACUGUGUAUGCAUUGUUCUCUACUUAUGAAGGACUAAAUUGUGUUAAUAAUGUAAUUGAUAUAGUUCGUGGUGUUGUUUGCUAUGUCGCUGGGACUUAUUGUUUGUUUGUCUUUUUAAUUUGUUUCUUGUACUGUUGAGAGUACAUAAAUUAUAUUAAAGUUGUUGAGAGUACCUUUUGUUUAUAGAUAUUUUUUCUCCAGUCUAGUUGUGUGUAAGUAAUAAUUUUAUUAUCCUUAUUAUCCUUAUUAUGUUUGUUAUAUGUUUUUAUUUUAUUUUUAAACUUGUUGCUCUUACCGGACCUUUAAAACAAAUACAUGAAGACUUGUAGAAAUAACUAUAAAAUGAGUGACAGUUCUGAGUAUUUGGGCCGUAAUGGGGUUUAAACGAAUUUAUGCAUUUCUCAUAAGAAGACAAUAGCAUUGACAUGUUGAUAUUGGGCAUGUAAGCUAUUUUUAUAAGACAAGAGUAGGGAGCAUGUGGAGAUGUUGUUGCUGCCUUUGUGUCUGUCAGGAUUGUCUCUUGUCUCUCCUCGUGUAGAUGUGUUUGUUUAUCUUUUAUUUGACAUGUAAUAUGUAAACAAAAAUCAUUGUUAGCAGUAUUUAUCAGAGUUCGUAAUUUACUUUGUUUUUUUUGUUUAGGUAAUUUUACUGAUUUUGGUUGUCGUUUUCGUCUUCUUCGUUGCGAAAGUAGUUUGUAAAUUGUUAAAUAGCUGGCCGUGUAGUUUGUAUUUGUUUAGCUGACUUGAUGUAUGUGUCGUUAAGUUUUAGUUGAAGUGAUUGGAUUGGUAUAUUUGUUUUGAAGUUUACUUCUGAGAUUAGACAAAAAAGAAAGGUAAUAAUUAAUGAUCCGUGUUUUUUGGAAUUAUAGUUUUUGGUGUUUUGAUUGUUUGGGUUGUUGUGAUUUCUUUUAAGGUGUAAAAUUAGUUUGAUAAGUAAGAGAGAUAAAUAGACGACCACAGAAUAGGAAAUAUUUUUUGAUUAUUAAUGUUAGCACAAUAUAAAUAAUAAUAUAAAGAGAAUUGUGUGUUGAUUGUUUCUUACGGAUCAAUGAGGAGACGGAUAAGGACCGAGUUGUUUCUUUGGUAAGGUCAGAGCCCUGGACAUAACGGAUUUGCCCAACCACAUCUGCGAGUUUAAAUAUCAGUUAUGAUAUCGAAACAUAAUAUAAACCCAGAUGCAAUAUGAUAAUAUACCUUGGAGUUCUAGGUUUGUGUUCGCAAUCACUUGGAAAUUGUCGAACAGUCUAGUUAUGACUGGAAAUU
rnacentral:lncRNA from 1 species